rnacentral:rRNA from 1 species
GACGAGGACCCAUUGGAGGGCAAGUCUGGUGCCAGCAGCCGCGGUAACUCCAGCUCCAAUAGCGUAUAUUAAAGUUGUUGCGGUUAAAAAGCUCGUAGUUGGAUUCCUGUCUUCGGCCGGGCGGUGCGAGGUCGACAAGACCGCAGCACUGCCUUUGGUUGCGGGGGUUAAAGCCUGCUUCCUUUAACGGUCGGACAAUACCGCCGGGGCGGCGGCUCGCCGGGCAACCGCGCGAGUCGCCGCGUAAUCGUCCGGGGUGCUCUUCACCGAGUGUCCCGGGCGGCCGGCAAUUUUUUACUUUGAACAAAUUAGAGUGCUCAAAGCAGGUACCCACACGCCUGAAUAUCACAGCAUGGAAUGAUAGAAUAGGACCUCGGUC